ensembl:lncRNA
GUACUAUGACGGUCAGUCAGCCAGUGGAACGGUCUUGUCUCCUACAGUACUAUGACGGUCAGUCAGCCAGUGGAAUGGUCUUGUCUCCUACAGUACAUGACGGUCAGUCAGCCAGUAGAAUGGUCUAGUCUCCUACAGUACUAUGACGGUCAGUCAGCCCGUAGAAUGUCUCGUUCCCUACAGUACUAUGACAGUCAGCUCAACCGUGGAUGGUUCUCGUCUCCUACAGUACUAUGACAGUCAGUCAACCAGUGGAAUGGUCUAGUCUCCUACAGUACUAUGACAGUCAGUCAACCAGUGGAAUGGUCUCAGUUUUAACCGUGUUGAGGCAUUCCCCUUACUGGUCUGCUGAUCGAACGAUGUGUGUGACUCCUCUCCGCUCCACCAGGCCCUCACCCACACCUCUUGUCAUCACCAUCUCCCAUGCAGGCAGCUCCAACGCCCAUCUGUCACAAGAACUAACCCAAAACCACAAGGUAAGCAAAAAAGGAAAACCUUGUAAAUGUAAAAGCCGACGACGCGAUAACAACAUAUGUAGGUCACAUCUUUGGAAUCUGCAACACUGGGGCAGGCAGAGGAGCAGAUCGCGGUGGUGGUUCAAUGGCUAUCCCAGGCAGGCAGACUGACUGGACAACUUGUGGCUUGAGGCUAUGGUAGGCAGGAGCUUUUCAUCAGACACACGCAGAGGAACGACCGGGGGAGGAGCUCCAAACAUACAUCUUAGAUUGCUUAUUGUUGUUGAAGUGGGCAGGAGUGGUGGUAGGGGGGGGACGCAGGCAGGUGGUGGUGGUGGGGGACGCCGCCAGGGUUGGUGGUGGGGGGACGCAGGCAGGAUUGUGGCAGGAGGCCGCAGGCAGGGUGGUAGUAGUAGUGGUGGGGCCGCAGAAGCAGGCAGGAGGCCGCAGGACAGCAGGCAGGAGGAGGCGCAGGAAAGACAGCAGGCAGGGUAGGUAGUGUGGGGCCGCAGGAAGCAGGCAGGAGGCCGCAGGAAGCAGGAGGUAGGUAGUGGUGGGGGCCGCAGGAAGGCAGGCAGGAGGCCGCAGGAAGCAGGCAGGGUAUGAGUGGUGGGGCGCGCAGGAAGCAGGCAGGGGCGCAGGAGUGUUGGCAGGAGGCCGCGGAAGCAGGCAGGAGGGCGCAGGAAGCAGGCAGGGGUAGUGGCAGAAGGCCCCGGGCAGGUUGAGGCCGAGGCAGGCGCUAAGACAGACAGGCUCGGUGGGUUUAGUUUUGUGCUGCUUUCCAACAAAGAUCUCAAAGCCUGGGUAUCAGUCACUCCACCUCGCGGUGUUGCCUCUUGAUGCGUCCGCCCGGCAAUUGGACAAGUGCGAUUAGUCUGGAAGGAAGAUAAAGGAACAAAAAGGAGGUGUUAGUACACUGCUUUUGACCGGAGCCUACACACACACACACACACUAUAUUAGGGAUAGGGUGCCACCCUGGUCAAACGUAGUGCACUAUACAGGGAAUAGGGUGCCAUUUGAGACCGUAGAUUAACGAUUGCCCCUACCUUUAACCAUUUGUGACCGCUAGAGUUAACGAUGGCCUUACCUUUAACCAUUUGAGACAGUCACGUAGAGUUAACGAUGGCCUUACCUUUAACCAUUUGAGACGUCACCGUAGAGUUAACGAUGUGCCUUACCUUUAACCAUUUGAGACCGUAGAGUUAACGAUGUGGCCUUUCCUUAACCAUUUUCGACACACUUGGCGUGGAAACUCGUGGUUGCAGGGUUACCCUCAGCAGCUGCCGACACUCGAAGUCACUAAAGCACACAACACACCUGGAAGAGA